rnacentral:ncRNA from 1 species
GUGUUAAGGAGAGAAGAUUAACAUUCCCCUUGGCAGGAGUGAAAGAGGCUCUCAGGCCUGACAAGAUGCAUAUGGUUAAGGCCUUAUGCAUCUACUUCAUGGAAUCUACUUCAUGGCAUCUAAGCACCAUUUUUU